UUAGAAAAAGCUUUAAUGAACCUUUUAGUGUGCCGGAAGCUUUUACGUGUUUGUCACGUUCGUGAUCUCUUUACUCAUACCACCAGCCCCAAACCUUUCCGUCGGGUCUAAAGUUCGCCUAGCGACGCAUUUGUUCAAGCCAUCUGCUAGUUGCCUCUCCACGUUAAGUUCAAAUUGCCGACCUAUUCCAGUGGGAUAUAGGAAAAUUUCAGUGUUAAAGGUUGCCCGUGACGUUGUGAGAAACUAUUAUAUGAUAUCUACAAAAAGUCAUAUCCAGAAUUUUUUUAACAUGUGUCAGUCAUGACUUUAAGAGAGUUUAAUAAAGGGGGUGCCAUUAUAAAUGUUACGAUUAGAUGUCAUGAAACUCAGGGAAUAGACGUGAAUAACCCCUACAGUGUAGGCUUGACAUGGUGAGCCCUAUAUAAGUUGAAGACAUGUUUGAGACUUGAAUAAACAGUGUGUGCAGGUUAGUUUUUUGAGUCAACCAAAUCUGAAGACGCUUACAGCAGGAAAGUCAUGGCAGGACCCAAAAUCGAAAUAAUUCUUUUGAUUUCUGUGUUGGUGGCAUAUCAGUCGUCAGGAACCCAUGAAACUGAAGUGCACCAAAGGGAUAUAAAAAAGUUUCUCGACGUGGAUGAGACCAUAUGGACCUACAACAGCACUAGAGGAUCAACUUUAUUCUGCAGAAAGGAUAUCAAGUUGUUUGCCAGAGGAAAUACACUCAUAUUUGAACGUUCACAUUUCAUGAAGAGUAGAGGGCAAUGGUUUGAAAGUUAUCUGGAAGGAAAUUAUUCCAUUUGGCACCGGCGAAAGAAUGAAACUCAGAACUACGAUGAACUUCUGGUUGGUGCAUUAGGU
rnacentral:lncRNA from 1 species